rnacentral:rRNA from 1 species
UACGUAGGGGCCGAGCGUUGUCCGGAGUUAUUGGGCGUAAAGCGCGCGCAGGCGGCCUCGCGCGCCCGACGUGAAAGCCCCCGGCUUAACCGGGGAGGGUCGUUGGGGACGGCGGGGCUUGAGGGCGGGAGAGGUCGGUGGAAUUCCCGGUGUAGUGGUGAAAUGCGUAGAGAUCGGGAGGAACACCUGUGGCGAAGGCGGCCGACUGGGCCGACCCUGACGCUGAGGCGCGAAGGCGUGGGGAGUCGAACGGG